AUCCAAAUAAUUACUACCUACAAUAUAUCAUCAAAUUCAUAUCUGUAAAUUAUCAGUAGUUACUGUUAAUUUGAGGAAUCUCAUAAAACCGUCGAUGCCAGAAAUUAAAUUGAGUCAGAGAGUACAGCCAUAUUGGUACAAAGCCUCACUACCUAGCUUCUUCUCUCUAGUCAAGAUCAGCUAGUUUGCUCCUUACAUCCUGCAUUGCAGCUGUAGUCUGUAGAGCAGUAUGAGCUAGCCAAGAGAGUUGCACAUAGAAAGGAAAGAAUUGAGAGAAAUGUUGUCACAUAUAAUUAUUAUGAAGUUUGAUAGCUGUACACUUUCUCUCUUGUACACUUUCAUUUCACGUGUCUAAAUGCAUGAGAAAUCUGGAAAUGGUGGGCAUUAGGAUGGCCGAACACCGCCUCAUGGCCACCGCAACAACGACGUCGAAGCCUCUCGUUUGUGGCUUCGCUUGCAUAGUUGCUGUAUCUUUCUGAGUACUAAGUUCUAUUUGUUGGAAUCAAACCGAAUACUUGAGAUAAUCUAUAUUCCAUUUGUGGGAGAUUUUUUUUUCGCAUUGUCAUAUUAUAUCGAAUGUAUGUUUAUAAAAAAAAAAACAAUGGUUUGACUUGACCAUAUAUAAUCCCUGAACAAAAUAUCAUUUUACUCCUCAAAUUGGAAGCAUAUACAUUCGUGAUAUCAAAUGAGAUGAGUUCCCGGGCCUCGCGUUGUGAAGCCCUCUGUAAAUAACAUUUUGUAUUUUUCUUUCCUACUCUAUCAAUAUAUACGAGGCAAUGCUUUUGCCUUCUUUUUAAAGAAAGAAAGAAAGAAAUGAGACGAGUUGAGAAAGGUAACUUGAGCAGCAAUUUGAUUAUCCAUCUGUUCGAUAAAGUAGAGAACAUCUCAUGUUCCAACAAUGUCUUUUUUAAGUCAAAUUUCAGUGGAUGGAAAGACUAUAUUUGUAGUAAUUUCGCAACUAUUAAGUGGGUAAUGAAUUCUUCAAGUUAGGAGGAUUAUCUUUAGCUUACACAGAUGCUUCACCGUCAAUUGUAAAAUUACAAGAUGUCCUAGGUAUGAAAUUUGAUUACGAUCGACUUUAAUAUAUUCAUGAAACGUUUAUAUUUAGUAACGGAGGGAGUAUGCCAUUAAAAUAUAACAAUCACAAUUUAUUAGUUAUAGGUCUAGUUAUCUCCUCGUAAAAUUAUUGACGCUAGAUAUUAAAUUGAGUCAGGGAAUACAUAAAAAUUGUUAUAAAAGCCUCGUAUCAUGACUAGCUGUUGUAGAAGCCUUCUCUCAGUCAAGACUGGCUGCUAGUUACUCCCUCCGUCCCAAAAUAUAAGAACUUAUGACCAGAUUAGACAUUUCGUAGUACUAGUACUAGCAAAUAUCCCAUCCGAUUUUAGGUUCUUAUAUUUUGGGAGGGACGGAAUAUGCAAAUAAAAAGGAAAGGGAUCGAUGAUUGAGAGAGAGAGGGAGAGAGAGAGAUGCUGCCAUAGAUAUGAACAAAUUUGGUAGCUCUGCGUACGUUCUUGUUGUAAACUUCCAUUGAACUCUUUAGACGAUCGAUAAAUAUGCAUGAGAAAGUGGGAAUGGUAGGCAUCAGGGUGGUGAAACACAUAAGAAAAUUCCAUAGGAGCGCCGGCGGCAGCGGUUGCAGCCGCAUCAGCACAAAGCUGGUGCCUGUGUCAAUUAAUGGCGAGGAGUGAUUUAAGGGGAUUAGAUGGUAGUAUGAAGCAACCAUGAACUAUUCAGAAUCUUUGCUUAAUCAUACUCUCACAAACACAAAUCAGUACUCUGUAGGAAAAAAAAUGAUCUAAACACGUCUACGCCUAAAACAGUACUUUGCCACACCUCUGUUUUUUCCGUCCUCCGCCACUGCCUGCAAGACAACCACCUUUCCCAGGAGCAUGGAGCAGCACCAAGGUAGACGACACCGGCAACUACCCUGUUAGAACAGGCUUGGAGUACUGCAAUGCAAGGUCCUGUCAUAAUGCUCCAGGCCAUAUACUUCUAGAUGGAGUGGACAUUCAAAAGUUUCAGCUAAGGUGGCUAAGGCAACAGAUGGGUCUGGUGAGCCAAGAACCAGCUCUGUUCAAUGACACGAUUCGCGCAAACAUCGCAUAUGGGAAGCAAGGGGAGGUGAUAGAAUCAGACAUCGUAUGUGCCGCACCAUUGGUGAAUGCACACAAGUUCAUCAGCUCAUUGCAUCAGGUGAAAUUCAAAUUCAGCUCACCCUCAAUCAUUGAGACAUGGUGUUCAUGUUUUCCGACAGAAAAUGUGUCACCUGAAGAAACAAAAUGCAGGGAUAUGGAACCAUGGUCGGGGAGCGUGGAGCUCAGCUAUCAUAUCAACCUUAGGUUGUGUAUGUUAGAUGGUGUUGGGAGCAAAUCUCUCGCACAAGCAAAACGAUGCGACUCAUUAGUGCAUGAUUAAUUGAGUAUUAGCUUUUCUUUUAAAAAAAUGAAUUAAUAUAAUUUUUAAUUCAUGCAA